rnacentral:rRNA from 1 species
UACGAGGGAGGGCGUAGCGUUGCUCGGAAUCACUGGGCGUAAAGGGUGCGUAGGCGGCGCGGUAAGUCGGGUGUGAAAUCUCGGGGCUUAACUCCGAAACUGCAUUCGAUACUGCCGUGCUUGAGGACUGGAGAGGAGACUGGAAUUUACGGUGUAGCAGUGAAAUGCGUAGAUAUCGUAAGGAAGACCAGUGGCGAAGGCGGGUCUCUGGACAGUUCCUGACACUGAGGCACGAAGGCCAGGGGAGCAAACGGG